rnacentral:rRNA from 1 species
UACGGGGGGAGCAAGCGUUGUUCGGAUUUACUGGGCGUAAAGGGCGCGUAGGCGGCCAGCGCAAGUCAGUUGUGAAAUCUCCGGGCUUAACUCGGAAAGGUCAACUGAUACUGUGCGGCUAGAGUGCGGAAGGGGCAACUGGAAUUCUUGGUGUAGCGGUGAAAUGCGUAGAUAUCAAGAGGAACACCUGCGGCGAAGGCGGGUUGCUGGGCCGACACUGACGCUGAGGCGCGAAAGCCAGGGGAGCGAACGGG